rnacentral:lncRNA from 1 species
CAUAGUAAUCAAAGUAUACAUAGGCAAAACUACAUAUUCAUUGGAUGGAUACGUCACAUACGUAUGUAUGUAUAAUUGUGCAUGUAUUUUUGGCAAAUUAUACAUACAUAAAUAAAAACGGAGAACCAUUUUCAGCCAUUCGAUUAUCAAGAUCUACGAUAGAUGUAUCAUCUUGUUGGAUGAAUUCAGAUCCUGGGUUCGAAUCCUGAAGGGAGCAAUUUUUUUUGAGUGCAUUAAUUUUAACAACGAAUGCAUUAAUUUUUACAGUGAAUGCAUUAGAUUUGAUGGUUCUCACGUUCUCUCACAAAUAAUGUAGUUCUCACAAAUUUGAAGGUGCAAUCAAAUUUACAAUCUGGAGGUGAUCUUCUCUUCUGGUAGGCCCAACUGACUUUUUCAAGGGAGCUUGGAAAUCCUCAAAACUGAAAAUUCAGAACAAAACUGCAGAUGGACUUUAUUUCACUUGAUAUAUUCGAUCAUUCUUACUGCUACUUCAACUUUUUGAGUGAUAUAUCUCCUUCAUAAUCCUUCAGGUAAAGAAAAUAAAAGUUAAUCAUAUUCAUAAAAGGAGGUGAUGUUUCGCUCAUCCAGCAUUGAUAUUCAAAAACCUCAUAAAAAUCUAUAAAACAAAAAAGUAAAUGAACUAUAAAAAAAUGACUAUCUAUUGAAGAUAUAUUUUCUAUAUUGUCAUUUUUUUCUUCAAAAUCUCAGUGCAAAAAAGGGGGUUGAAAAUCUUCAGCAAGAUUAUCAAAUAAAUCACUACUCAUUAUUUCUAUUCUUGUUAAGAAAGGGAGCAACCAUAUUUUUGGUACCUCAAAAGGCAAAAAGGGGGCAAGCAAAAUGAACCAACAACUGCUUAGUCAGAUUGUAAUUCGAUGGCCAUGGCAAAUCUAUAUUAGUAGCCUGUAUUGAUAUAUGCUCAAGUCAAAUCCCACAACUUAUUUUUAUCUUAACAUAAACAGAAAACGAUCAACUUAAUAAAAGUCAUCCGUAAUUGAGAGAUGAUGAUGAUGGAAAGUAAUGGGCGCACUGACUGUGAAAAUCAGGCUAGCCACCUGCUCUAAUAAAUGCUACAAAAUCAAAUAUCAGCAUCCUUAUAUUGAGUUGAUUUUUACAAAUCUAGACUAUAUGUAUUCAUCACGAAAAAAGCAAAAUAAUGAAGAAAGUAGAGGGAGCUGCACUCACUAAAGACUUUUGCAGAUCAAAAGUCCAAGACAAAUAAAUAGAUAAACAAUUCUAAAACAAAGGGAUUAGUCUUUUCACCUUUUCUCUUCUUCACAAUUGCUGUUGCUUUGAUUAUCAUCCGUUCCAAAGCCUUCUUUUGUUCCUUCUUUCUCAGUCUCUUCUUUCUGUCCUACAUAAUUUUUAUUCAUAUAUAGAUUAAGUAAUUAAGCUUGCUGCUAUGUACUUUUAUAGAAAAGAAAAAGCAAAUCAAGAGGGUAAAUAAAAUUAGUUUUUCACAUUUUCUCUCUGGUUUGCCUCCUUCCGUGUUUUCAAUUUUAACAUUUGAGAUUUAUAGUUCCUGCACAAAAGCUACAAUUAGAAUUUUUUUUGCUCUAUUCCCCACAAAAAAAAAAAAAACUACGAUUAAUUUUUGUUCAUGCAUUAAAACUACAAAAAAACUUCAACAAAAACAAUAAACCUUUGAGAAUACCCUAAUCUUUUAUUGUUCCUGGAAUAAACCUCUGAAAAUUUUAGCUCCUACAAAAAAUAUAGAGGCACAAAAAAUGAGCAAAGAGAUUGGACCAACAACUUUUGCAUGUUCCAGCUAAGGAUAAUAUAUGAUGUGUUAUAUGAAAUGAAAGUAAAAAGAAAGGUGAGAAGUAAGUAAUGCCUUGAAAGGUGUUGUACCUCUACAACACCCUGCACAGAGUCCUUAUAUUUCUCAGGUGUAAGGGCCUUCACUUUGGCACAAUCUGCAACAAAUAAAACCAAGCAUUAAACAUCACCUCUCGAGAAACAACCUUAAAAUCAUUAUAUAUUGAUACAUAGAGGCAACAAAAGCUAGAGUUCGUACCAACCAAAAAAAAGGGAUAGAAGAGNUGAAGAGAUACCAUCUUUCACACUUUUGGAUUAUUUAAAAACUGAAAUAAUAAUAAUAAUAAUAAUAAUAAUAAUAAUAAUAAUAAUAAUAAUAAUAGGAUGUAGAAAAAUAAUUGCAUCAAUUCUCUUUCGAAACCUCAAAUAGAAGUCCAUUUUGAGGGGCAUUGUCUAAUGCCUCUACACAAAUAAAGGCAGCAUCUUCGUUGAUAAGACUUCCCUUUGCUGCAUAAUCCUAUCGUACCUUAUCAAAGCAAAAACCUUGGUGUUUUUCAGGAUCCCACUUCUGAUGAUGCUGUAAGGGACAAUUGAGGCCUUCACCGCAUCCUCAUCUUGCUCCAGCUAGUUUUCUUGCGUUGUUGUUCAUGACAGCCUCAAUGCCGCUAGAAUCCCUAUAAAUAAACAACUCAAAAUCUUCACACUCUCAAGUCUCACGACAUCAGAAG